UACGUAGGGACCAAGCGUUGUUCGGAUUUACUGGGCGUAAAGGGCGCGUAGGCGGCAAUUCAAGUCAGUUGUGAAAUCUCCGAGCUUAACUCGGAACGGUCAACUGAUACUGUCUUGCUAGAGUACAGAAGGGCAAUCGGAAUUCUUGGUGUAGCGGUGAAAUGCGUAGAUAUCAAGAGGAACACCUGAGGUGAAGACGGGUUGCUGGGCUGAUACUGACGCUGAGACACGAAAGCGUGGGUAGCAAACAGG
rnacentral:rRNA from 1 species